AUUGAACGCUGGCGGCAGGCCUAACACAUGCAAGUCGAGCGGAUGACGGGAGCUUGCUCCUUGAUUCAGCGGCGGACGGGUGAGUAAUGCCUAGGAAUCUGCCUGGUAGUGGGGGACAACGUUUCGAAAGGAACGCUAAUACCGCAUACGUCCUACGGGAGAAAGCAGGGGACCUUCGGGCCUUGCGCUAUCAGAUGAGCCUAGGUCGGAUUAGCUAGUUGGUGGGGUAAUGGCUCACCAAGGCGACGAUCCGUAACUGGUCUGAGAGGAUGAUCAGUCACACUGGAACUGAGACACGGUCCAGACUCCUACGGGAGGCAGCAGUGGGGAAGAUUGGACAAUGGGCGAAAGCCUGAUCCAGCCAUGCCGCGUGUGUGAAGAAGGUCUUCGGAUUGUAAAGCACUUUAAGUUGGGAGGAAGGGCAGUAAGUUAAUACCUUGCUGUUUUGACGUUACCGACAGAAUAAGCACCGGCUAACUCUGUGCCAGCCGCCGCCGUAAGAC
rnacentral:rRNA from 1 species